AUUGAACGCUGGCGGCAUGCCUAACACAUGCAAGUCGAACGGCAGCACGGACUGGUUUACCAGUUGGGUGGCGAGUGGCGCACGGGUGAGUAAAGCAUAGGAAUAUACCUUAAAGAGGGGGAUAACUUGGGGAAACUCAGGCUAAUACCGCGUAAGCUCUAAGGAGGAAAGCUGGGGACCGCAAGGCCUGGCGCUUUAAGAUUAGCCUAUGUCCGAUUAGCUAGUUGGUAGGGUAAAGGCCUACCAAGGCGACGAUCGGUAGCUGGUCUGAGAGGAUGAUCAGCCACACUGGGACUGAGACACGGACCAGACUCCUACGGGAGGCAGCAGUGGGGAAUAUUGGACAAUGGGGGCAACCCUGAUCCAGCGAUGCCGCGUGUGUGAAGAAGGCCUAAGGGUUGUAAAGCACUUUCGGUGGGGAGGAGAGGACAUUGGUUAAGAGCUGGUGUUUGAGACGUUACCCACAAAAGAAGCACCGGCUAACUCCGUGCCAGCCGCCGCAGUAA
rnacentral:rRNA from 1 species